rnacentral:tRNA from 1 species
GAUAGAGUGACAUAAUGGUUUGAGCACUGGACUAUGAUUCUGGAGACCAGGGUUUGAAUCCUUGCUCGGCCA